CGAAGCCUGACCCAGCCAUGCCGCGUGAGUGACGACGGCCUUAGGGUUGUAAAGCUCUUUUGGCGGGGACGAUAAUGACGGUACCCGCAGAAUAAGCCCCGGCUAACUUCGUGCCAGCAGCCGCGGUAAUA
rnacentral:rRNA from 1 species